rnacentral:rRNA from 1 species
GGGCGUAAAGGGCUCGUAGGUGGUUUGUCGCGUCGUCUGUGAAAUUCCGGGGCUUAACUCCGGGCGUGCAGGCGAUACGGGCAUAACUUGAGUACUGUAGGGGUAACUGGAAUUCCUGGUGUAGCGGUGAAAUGCGCAGAUAUCAGGAGGAACACCGAUGGCGAAGGCAGGUUACUGGGCAGUUACUGACGCUGAGGAGCGAAAGCAUGGGUAGCGAACAGGAUUAGAUACCCUGGUAGUCCAUGCCGUAAACGGUGGGCGCUAGGUGUGAGGGUCUUUUCACGACUUUCGUGCCGUAGCUAACGCAUUAAGCGCCCCGCCUGGGGAGUACGGCCGCAAGGCUAAAACUCAAAGGAAUUGACGGGGGCCCGCACAAGCGGCGGAGCAUGUGGAUUAAUUCGAUGCAACGCGAAGAACCUUACCUGGGCUUGACAUACACCGGAUCGGGCUAGAGAUAGUCUUUCCCUUUGUGGCUGGUGUACAGGUGGUGCAUGGUUGUCGUCAGCUCGUGUCGUGAGAUGUUGGGUUAAGUCCCGCAACGAGCGCAACCCUUGUCUUAUGUUGCCAGCAUUUGGUUGGGGACUCAUGAGAGACUGCCGGGGUCAACUCGGAGGAAGGU